rnacentral:misc_RNA from 1 species
GACAUAUGGGGCGAGCGUUACUCGGAAUCACUAGGCGUAAAGCGCGUGUAGGCGGAUGCACAAGUCUGCUGUGAAAUCUCCCGGCUCAACUGGGAGCGGUCGGUGGAAACUGUGCGUCUAGAGUUAGGUAGGGGCAACCGGAAUUCCUGGUGUAGCGGUGAAAUGCGUAGAUAUCAGGAGGAACACCGAUGGCGAAAGCAGGUUGCUGGGCCUCAACUGACGCUGAGACGCGAAAGCUAGGGUAGCAAACAGG